ensembl:lncRNA
CCUUCUUUUGUUUUAGUGCAGCUGAUAAUCAGCUUUGACAUUUACAUUUCUCAGUUUCACUGCAUGGCCCCUCGCACCGGAAACAACAGCAACAGCAAACAUGAGCAGGAAGUGGUCUGCAGCACAUAGUCAUGUCAGGUCCUUUCAGGUCCGUUGCACCUUUCAUCUACAUGCUCAAUGUGUAGAGUGAAGGUGUAAAGCAAGAGAAUUAUUUGAAUGUAAUCUUUGGCAUGAUCACCAUUAGAAGAAAAUAGUAUUGGUAAAAGUUUGGCUGUUUUUCAUAUGGAAGUGAAAGACACUAAAGGAUUUCCUGAAUUAACUAAGCAGAUUCUGGUGGUCUUGUGAUUUUGUCCUGUGACACUCUGAGAAGUUGCCACAUUAUCACCAUACAGCUGUUCACACUGUGCCAGAUGCUGACGAUGAGUGCUGACAGGUGGAUUCUCCUCUUAGCCCUGUGCUUCACACGUGCGGAUUCAAAUGAUGAGCACUUAUACGAAGAUUAUCAUGAGGAUAAUCAGUGUGAAACACAGAAACUCAAGGCUCCUCUUGGCUCGUCUGUGUUCCUACCGUGCAGCUUAUCAACAAGUAGCCAAAACUGGGUGACAUGGACCCAGGGUGGCAAGGCAGAGCUGGCAAAGCUCUCCUUUGAAGGGCGCGUCAAGUUCCUGGACCCCAGACAUGGCAGAGUGAAAGCUUUUCCAAACCAGGUCUCAGAGGGAAAUUUCUCCAUCCGCAUCGAUGAGCUGAACAACUCUGACCUGGGCAGCUAUCGCUGUAUACAGGGAGAUUACUGUCAAAAAGUGGAGUUGCUUGCUGACAGUACCCUGAGCACAGAGAUGUUGCUACUGAUUUCCAUUAGUGCUGGGGUGGCUGCGCUCAUCCUGCUAAGUGUUGCUGGAUAUUUCUGCUGCAAGAAAUGUGUCGUGCCCUGCCACAACAAAACCCAAGACAAUGCAAACAAUCCUGUCAAUGCAGGUAUUGAGGCAGGUGCCAGUGCUCCCCCUGCUCCUCCAGCAGCAGUACAUGGACAGCAGAUUGGACCAGACAAUAACAGUCUUGUUUAUGAAAACGAUGAUCAGUACUUUGCCAGCGCUGCCCCCGCCAGACACCACGGUGGUCACCCUGGAGCUAUGCAGAAUCAGCCCAGUCAAGCACCCAGUGGGAUUUACCCAAACCUGAGCGAGUUUAAGAUGGAAAGAGUGGAAAGUCAGAGAACAAGAAUGAGAUUUCACAUAGAACUCAUCAACAGAUUACGGCAUGCAAGUCUUAGUCGACAUUAUUACGUUAAUCAAGGUGAACUCAGGAAGCAACAAGCCAUGUCGACACAGGCCGAGAAUCAUCACAGAGCAGGUGUCGGGAAGAAGAAAGCCAAAGAAGACGGUGAAUACAAAAACCCGAUUUACAACAGGAGCACUGACCAGCUCAACCAUCUGUAGAGAAUCAAGGACAAAGAACAUCCUCUGACAAAGACCGCUAUUGACUAUUCAUUUUCUAUUUCUAUUACUUUUGCUUCUGUAUUUUUAAAAAAGUGAUAUGUGUUUUAUUGUAGUUGUAGUAUGAAUUCACUGUACCUCACUGCUUUUGCUGCACAUCCAUGACUGCUGUUUCAUAAAGUACAUUAAAUCAAUAUCUCACUUACAAAUUGGCUUCAUCCUAGUGGUUAUUUCACAAUCCAAAAUGGCUUUUUCGAAGCAAACAUUUUUGUCCUAGUGUCAGUAAUGUAGACAGGUGUGCUGCAUAAAUUCAUGAAAGACUGUUGACCUCCUCAAUUGAGAAACUUUACAAUAUAACAUAACGGGAC